AUUUUUUGGGUGGUUUCAUUUUUUUCGUUUUUCUCUUUUUUAGUUUUUGCAGGCGUUGUAAAAAAAAAAAGAA
rnacentral:ribozyme from 1 species